rnacentral:rRNA from 1 species
AACGAACGCUGGCGGCAUGCCUAAUACAUGCAAGUCGAACGAGACCUUCGGGUCUAGUGGCGCACGGGUGCGUAACGCGUGGGAAUCUGCCCUUGGGUUCGGAAUAACAGCUGGAAACGGCUGCUAAUACCGGCUGAUGACGUAAGUCCAAAGAUUUAUCGCCCAGGGAUGAGCCCGCGUAGGAUUAGCUAGGUGGUGGGGUAAAAGCCUACCAAGGCGACGAUCCUUAGCUGGUCUGAGAGGAUGAUCAGCCACACUGGGACUGAGACACGGCCCAGACUCCUACGGGAGGCAGCAGUAGGGAAUAUUGGACAAUGGGCGCAAGCCUGAUCCAGCAAUGCCGCGUGAGUGAUGAAGGCCUUAGGGUUGUAAAGCUCUUUUACCCGAGAUGAUAAUGACAGUAUCGGGAGGAUAAGCUCCGGCUAACUCCGUGCCAGCCGCCGCCGUAAGAC